rnacentral:rRNA from 1 species
CAGCAGCCACGGGAAUACGGAGGGUGCAAGCGUUACUCGGAAUCACUGGGCGUAAAGGACGCGUAGGCGGAUUAUCAAGUCUCUUGUGAAAUCUAACGGCUUAACCGUUAAACUGCUUGGGAAACUGAUAAUCUAGAGUAAGGGAGAGGCAGAUGGAAUUCUUGGUGUAGGGGUAAAAUCCGUAGAUAUCAAGAAGAAUACCUAUUGCGAAGGCGAUCUGCUGGAACUUAACUGACGCUAAUGCGCGAAAGCCAGGGGAGCGAACGGGAUUAGAUACCCCAGUAGUCCCUGUCUCUUAUAC